rnacentral:lncRNA from 1 species
AUUAAGGUAUAAAUAUGACUUUAUAGCCAAAAUUCAUUUAGGGUUUCUUUUGGAGAAAAUUGGAGAGAACAUGUCUCUCCCUUUCUCUCUAAAGAGGCCGGCCUCCUUGGAGGGUGUAGCUAGCAAUCCUACUACUCCAAGGUCACUCAUUUCUUCUCCAAUCUAACCUUGGUGAAGAGACUUAAAGGUUCUCAAUUUUGGGAACUUGGAGAACCAUUUCAUCCAUCCAAAUCCAUAGAUCUA